AUUGCUUCUUGGCAUUUUGGUUAAGAUCAAGUGCAGUAUUUCUUGUAAUCAGUUUAAUAAAUACAUGGGAUAUAAACUGACUGGGCCUAUGAGAUAGCUUAGAGGCAAAAUUUUACUUCAAAAACUGAAAUUAUUAUGUAAGCUUCUAUGCUACAAAAGCCUUGCUCCCAGGCAUGGCACUGUAGCCUAGUGGCUAAAGUCCUC
rnacentral:snRNA from 1 species